rnacentral:misc_RNA from 1 species
UCCGAGUUGUCCCCGGCGGUCCCCUUAGAGUCCCCGGCAUUACCCGCUGGCAACUAAGGGCAGGGGUUGCGCUCGUUGCGGCACUUAAGCCAACACCUCACGGCACGAGCUGACGACCUGCGUCAUCCCAUCUUUCGAUCGGGGCAGGACUAUACCUUCACCCGAUGUAUCGACCAUCGGGGCCGGCGUAUUGCACCACUCUUAGAUUUGGGAUCUCUCCCAAGAAGCGAUGCCAUUGCAGUCUCUACAGAGUGAACGACGUCAGCGAUCGCCGACGAUCUCAGUCAUCCACUUCCCUCGGUAUUGCCCUCGAACUCAACGGAUGUUGAUCGUUAGGGUUUCACCGAUAUGAGCCGGUGUUUCCUCAGGGGAUUGCUC